GCCCAGUUGGCUCAGUCAGAAAAGCAUGGGACUCUUGAUCUAGAGGUUGUGAGUUUGAGCCCCACAUUGGUCA
rnacentral:tRNA from 1 species